CACACUAUCAUUAACUGAAUCCAUAGGUUAAUGAGGCGAACCGGGGGAACUGAAACAUCUAAGUACCCCGAGGAAAAGAAAUCAACCGAGAUUCCCCCAGUAGCGGCGAGCGAACGGGGAGCAGCCCAGAGCCUGAAUCAGUGUGUGUGUUAGUGGAAGCGUCUGGAAAGGCGCGCGAUACAGGGUGACAGCCCCGUACACAAAAAUGCACAUGCUGUGAGCUCGAUGAGUAGGGCGGGACACGUGGUAUCCUGUCUGAAUAUGGGGGGACCAUCCUCCAAGGCUAAAUACUCCUGACUGACCGAUAGUGAACCAGUACCGUGAGGGAAAGGCGAAAAGAACCCCGGCGAGGGGAGUGAAAAAGAACCUGAAACCGUGUACGUACAAGCAGUGGGAGCACGCUUAGGCGUGUGACUGCGUACCUUUUGUAUAAUGGGUCAGCGACUUAUAUUCUGUAGCAAGGUUAACCGAAUAGGGGAGCCGAAGGGAAACCGAGUCUUAACUGGGCGUUAAGUUGCAGGGUAUAGACCCGAAACCCGGUGAUCUAGCCAUGGGCAGGUUGAAGGUUGGGUAACACUAACUGGAGGACCGAACCGACUAAUGUUGAAAAAUUAGCGGAUGACUUGUGGCUGGGGGUGAAAGGCCAAUCAAACCGGGAGAUAGCUGGUUCUCCCCGAAAGCUAUUUAGGUAGCGCCUCGUGAAUUCAUCUCCGGGGGUAGAGCACUGUUUCGGCAAGGGGGUCAUCCCGACUUACCAACCCGAUGCAAACUGCGAAUACCGGAGAAUGUUAUCACGGGAGACACACGGCGGGUGCUAACGUCCGUCGUGAAGAGGGAAACAACCCAGACCGCCAGCUAAGGUCCCAAAGUCAUGGUUAAGUGGGAAACGAUGUGGGAAGGCCCAGACAGCCAGGAUGUUGGCUUAGAAGCAGCCAUCAUUUAAAGAAAGCGUAAUAGCUCACUGGUCGAGUCGGCCUGCGCGGAAGAUGUAACGGGGCUAAACCAUGCACCGAAGCUGCGGCAGCGACGCUUAUGCGUUGUUGGGUAGGGGAGCGUUCUGUAAGCCUGUGAAGGUGUGCUGUGAGGCAUGCUGGAGGUAUCAGAAGUGCGAAUGCUGACAUAAGUAACGAUAAAGCGGGUGAAAAGCCCGCUCGCCGGAAGACCAAGGGUUCCUGUCCAACGUUAAUCGGGGCAGGGUGAGUCGACCCCUAAGGCGAGGCCGAAAGGCGUAGUCGAUGGGAAACAGGUUAAUAUUCCUGUACUUGGUGUUACUGCGAAGGGGGGACGGAGAAGGCUAUGUUGGCCGGGCGACGGUUGUCCCGGUUUAAGCGUGUAGGCUGGUUUUCCAGGCAAAUCCGGAAAAUCAAGGCUGAGGCGUGAUGACGAGGCACUACGGUGCUGAAGCAACAAAUGCCCUGCUUCCAGGAAAAGCCUCUAAGCAUCAGGUAACAUCAAAUCGUACCCCAAACCGACACAGGUGGUCAGGUAGAGAAUACCAAGGCGCUUGAGAGAACUCGGGUGAAGGAACUAGGCAAAAUGGUGCCGUAACUUCGGGAGAAGGCACGCUGAUAUGUAGGUGAAGUCCCUCGCGGAUGGAGCUGAAAUCAGUCGAAGAUACCAGCUGGCUGCAACUGUUUAUUAAAAACACAGCACUGUGCAAACACGAAAGUGGACGUAUACGGUGUGACGCCUGCCCGGUGCCGGAAGGUUAAUUGAUGGGGUCAGCGCAAGCGAAGCUCUUGAUCGAAGCCCCGGUAAACGGCGGCCGUAACUAUAACGGUCCUAAGGUAGCGAAAUUCCUUGUCGGGUAAGUUCCGACCUGCACGAAUGGCGUAAUGAUGGCCAGGCUGUCUCCACCCGAGACUCAGUGAAAUUGAACUCGCUGUGAAGAUGCAGUGUACCCGCGGCAAGACGGAAAGACCCCGUGAACCUUUACUAUAGCUUGACACUGAACAUUGAGCCUUGAUGUGUAGGAUAGGUGGGAGGCUUAGAAGUGUGGACGCCAGUCUGCAUGGAGCCGACCUUGAAAUACCACCCUUUAAUGUUUGAUGUUCUAACGUUGACCCGUAAUCCGGGUUGCGGACAGUGUCUGGUGGGUAGUUUGACUGGGGCGGUCUCCUCCUAAAGAGUAACGGAGGAGCACGAAGGUUGGCUAAUCCUGGUCGGACAUCAGGAGGUUAGUGCAAUGGCAUAAGCCAGCUUGACUGCGAGCGUGACGGCGCGAGCAGGUGCGAAAGCAGGUCAUAGUGAUCCGGUGGUUCUGAAUGGAAGGGCCAUCGCUCAACGGAUAAAAGGUACUCCGGGGAUAACAGGCUGAUACCGCCCAAGAGUUCAUAUCGACGGCGGUGUUUGGCACCUCGAUGUCGGCUCAUCACAUCCUGGGGCUGAAGUAGGUCCCAAGGGUAUGGCUGUUCGCCAUUUAAAGUGGUACGCGAGCUGGGUUUAGAACGUCGUGAGACAGUUCGGUCCCUAUCUGCCGUGGGCGCUGGAGAACUGAGGGGGGCUGCUCCUAGUACGAGAGGACCGGAGUGGACGCAUCACUGGUGUUCGGGUUGUCAUGCCAAUGGCACUGCCCGGUAGCUAAAUGCGGAAGAGAUAAGUGCUGAAAGCAUCUAAGCACGAAACUUGCCCCGAGAUGAGUUCUCCCUGACUCCUUGAGAGUCCUGAAGGAACGUUGAAGACGACGACGUUGAUAGGCCGGGUGUGUAAGCGCAGCGAUGCGUUGAGCUAACCGGUACUAAUGAACCGUGAGGCUUAACCUU
rnacentral:rRNA from 1 species